UACAGAGGUCCCAAGCGUUGUUCGGAUUCACUGGGCGUAAAGGGUGCGUAGGCGGUUGGAUAAGUCUGACGUGAAAUGCCGGAGCUUAACUCCGGAACUGCGUCGGAGACUAUUCGGCUGGAGGAUUGGAGGGGGGGCUGGAAUUCUCGGUGUAGCAGUGAAAUGCGUAGAUAUCGAGAGGAACACCCGUGGCGAAGGCAAGCCCCUAGACAAUUCCUGACGCUGAGGCACGAAAGCUAGGGGAGCAAAC
rnacentral:rRNA from 1 species